rnacentral:tRNA from 1 species
GGUCUUGUGGUCUAGUGGUAUGAUUCUCGCUUAGGGUUCACCCUGACGCAAAGAUUGCGAGAGGCCCCGCGUUCGAGUCGCGGCAAGACCC